rnacentral:rRNA from 1 species
AGCUAGCGGCGGAGGGUGAGUACACGUGGGUAACCUGCCUGUAAGACUGGGAUAACUCCGGGAAACCGGAGCUAAUACCGGAUAGUUCCUUGAACCGCAUGGUUCAAGGAUGAAAGACGGUUUCGGCUGUCACUUACAGAUGGACCCGCGGCGCAUUAGCUAGUUGGUGAGGUAACGGCUCACCAAGGCGACGAUGCGUAGCCGACCUGAGAGGGUGAUCGGCCACACUGGGACUGAGACACGGCCCAGACUCCUACGGGAGGCAGCAGUAGGGAAUCUUCCGCAAUGGACGAAAGUCUGACGGAGCAACGCCGCGUGAGUGAUGAAGGUUUUCGGAUCGUAAAGCUCUGUUGUUAGGGAAGAACAAGUGCAAGAGUAACUGCUUGCACCUUGACGGUACCUAACCAGAAAGCCACGGCUAACUACGUGCCAGCAGCCGCGGUAAUACGUAGGUGGCAAGCGUUGUCCGGAAUUAUUGGGCGUAAAGGGCUCGCAGGCGGUUUCUUAAGUCUGAUGUGAAAGCCCCCGGCUCAACCGGGGAGGGUCAUGG